rnacentral:rRNA from 1 species
UACGUAGGUGGCGAGCGUUGUCCGGAUUUAUUGGGCGUAAAGAGCUCGUAGGCGGUCUGUUGCGUCGGCUGUGAAACCCGGGGCUCAACCCCGGGCCUGCAGCCGAUACGGGCAGGCUGGAGUUCGGUAGGGGAGACUGGAAUUCCCGGUGUAGUGGUGAAAUGCGUAGAGAUCGGGAGGAACACCUGUGGCGAAGGCGGCCCCCUGGGCCGGCCCUGACACUGAGACGCGAAGGCGUGGGGAGCGAACGGG